GGACUCUAAGAUAUAUCAGCCAUUGAGAAGGCCAAAGAAAAUCUCUAAAAUUCUUGAAAACAAACUAUACUUUUAAGCAGACAACUGUUCUUUCUCUUUUUAUAGGCAUAAAUGCCCUAUCAAUCUUGUUUACCCUGUGGCUUUGUUUAGCAAAUCUUUUAUUUUAUGGGUAAAAGAAAAUUUUUUUUCAGUGCCCUAGAGAUAAUCACAAAUUUUAAAAAUCAGAAGAGUAUGAAUUAAAGAGGCUUUAUUACCAUAGUUUAAAAUCCCUCAACAACUCUUAAGAGAUAUAUCAAAUGGGAGUUGUUAAAAUGCCUUCAGUAUAGAAUUCGGCCCUCAAAAAAGCAUCUAGGAAAGUUUCUCCUUACUGUUAUUUAAGUUAGAAAUCGUAUCUGUGACAAGUUCCAGAUCUUGCUGUUGGAGCGGAGGAGAUCUAUGGCUGGGGACACAGGAAAGCCUCUUAAAUUAAGAUCUUGAGCCAGAAUCUUCCCUCAUCUGUUCCCUAUCGGUUUGGGAAUUCUUUGAGCCUGGCCCAAGCUACCUACCUGUCCUACCAGCAGCAUCUCCUCUUCAAAGGACCAUUGGCAAAACCUCUCAGUUCCAUGCGGAGAUGGAAAAGUCUUUGAUCCAAGUUCAGGCUCACUGCACAGUCAGAGCAAUAAGCAUUAGAGAAAAACACACAGCUCAUUUGUUUAAAACUUGACUCUGCCCAUUGUGAUUUAAACAGGUUUGAGGUAGGUUGUGCUUCUUCCUGCUCUGGCCCAGGGCAACGUGGAAUCCAGGCUCCUUCCUUUCAAAGGAGCUCAGCUCAGCUCAGGCCUAUGGCUCAAGCUUAGGUAACACUGAGGCUUUGAAAGGAAAAAAAGAAAGAGAAUGAGAGAGAAAAAAAGAAGGGAAAAUAAAACAGAAAACACUGCACCAGUGGGAGAAGCGGACAAUUCAGUCCAGACUCAAACUGGGCUUCUAGUGCCUGGGAGCAGCAGAGGACAGCUAAAGAAUGUGAACCCAAAAUGCCCUGAAGUGAAGGAUCCUUCUGUUUCCACAAGUUCUCUUCAUCUCUUUUGGAGGUCAGGGAAUACUACAGCCCAUCUCCUGGGCAGGAAGUAGACAGCUCUACCGCCACUCCCCACAGAGCACUGGCCAUAAAUGCUUGUGGAACUGAAUUUAAUUGAGCUCAUAAAAUAGCUAAAAAGAAAUAGAGGUUAAAACAAAUAUGCAGAAAGCCUGGCUUAAAACCAGCAAUACCAUAUCAUCGUGUUGGUAUGUAUACAUGAAGCUGACAAGAAGGUAAUAAAUGUGUGAAAAAAGGAAUUAGGAUUUCUCA
rnacentral:lncRNA from 1 species